rnacentral:snoRNA from 1 species
UUCCAAUGUGUUGAGUUCAGUUCAGGGCAGCUUCCCUAUUCUGUUAAUUAAAUUUUGGGAAAUUGAAAAGAGCUAAGAUAAAUGGUUGACUAGAAAAUUCCUUUCUAUUUAUUCACUUAUGUCCCAGCCAACAAAA